rnacentral:rRNA from 1 species
UGGGGAAUAUUGGGCAAUGGGCGAAAGCCUGACCCAGCAACGCCGCGUGAAGGAAGAAGGCCUUCGGUUGUAAACUUCUUUUAAGAGGGACGAAGAAGUGACGGUACCUCUUGAAUAAGCCACGGCUAACUACGUGCCAGCAGCCGCGGUAAUACGUAGGGAGCGAGCGUUAUCCGGAAUUAUUGGGUGUAAAGGGUGCGUAGACGGGAAGAUAAGUUAGUUGUGAAAUCCCUCGGCUUAACUGAGGAACUGCAACUAAAACUGUUUUUCUUGAGUGCAGGAGAGGUAAGUGGAAUUCCUAGUGUAGCGGUGAAAUGCGUAGAUAUUAGGAGGAACACCAGUGGCGAAGGCGACUUACUGGACUGUAACUGACGUUGAGGCACGAAAGUGUGGGGAGCAAACAGGAUUAGAUACCCUGGUAGU